GGAUGUGAGGGCAAUCUGGCUUCAACAUCUGUCACUUCAUUGAUCGCCAGGGUUGAUUCAGCUGAUCUGGCUGGCUAGAUGGGUGUCCCCUUCCUCCCUCACCACUCCAUGUGCGUCCCUCCUGAAGCUGCGCACUCAGUUGAAGAGGAAGAAGUAAACCGCCUUCCCCGAAAUAGAGACGGACCCAUCUUCGGUCCAGGGUAUACGAGUAGCUGUGUUCCCUUGCUAGAACCUCCAAACCAAUAAUCCAAAAUUUAUUAAAUUAGGACUUAACUUUUUGAUAAUAACUCCAGAUUUUCCCUGUAUACACAAAUGUUU
rnacentral:snRNA from 1 species